rnacentral:rRNA from 1 species
GACAGAGGGUGCAAACGUUGUUCGGAAUUACUGGGCGUAAAGCGCGUGUAGGCGGCUAAGUAAGUCGGGCGUGAAAUCCCACGGCUCAACCGUGGAAGUGCACUCGAAACUGCAUAGCUAGAGUCCUGGAGAGGAAGGUGGAAUGCUUGGUGUAGAGGUGAAAUUCGUAGAUAUCAAGCGGAACACCGGUGGCGAAGGCGGCCUUCUGGACAGUGACUGACGCUGAGACGCGAAAGCGUGGGGAGCAAACAGGGAUUAAGAAACCCUU